UGGAAACCAAAUCGUCGGAGUGCACUUGGCCUUGGUCCAGGCGAGGCAUUAUUGAUUAGAAUAAUGAUCCGAAACCGAUAUAAACUAGUAUGGCAUGUCCAUCGGCCAGCAGCUAUCAAGAUGCCACGGCCAACUAGUGAACCUUCAUAUAAGAGAAGCGACAUCUGAUCCCUCUUUAAAUAAAAUAUUUGGCAACAUCGCCGAAAUCUUGGACAAAAAAAUCCCCAGCACUGUUUUCUGGCUCAAUGUUCAAGCUCUAAAGUGAACGCUCCUUCAAUCCAACAAAACAACAUUGAACUCGAUGCCCGAAGGAUCGCGAUAAACGGUUCACUACGGCCAACUAGAGAAAUUAUCGUUGUACCUCCAUGACAACCUGGCUCUAGCCGUUCUAAGAUUUGGACGUCAGUUUUCAUUGAAGAUCGUUGGACGAUUUCAACGAAAACAUCGCUUGGUCCGUAUCGAAGUGGUUUAUGGAGGUGCCGUACAUAUUUGAGGACCGCAAUCUGGCUAUCCAACUGCGCAGAUAGGUCAUGCUGCUUUGAAAUAGGCUACAAAUCGGAACCGAUUCCGAAAUAAAAUGAAUUUUAAAAAUAA